rnacentral:rRNA from 1 species
UACGGAGGGUGCGAGCGUUAAUCGGAAUUACUGGGCGUAAAGGGUGCGUAGGUGGUUAAUUAAGUUAUCUGUGAAAUCCCUGGGCUCAACCUGGGCAGGUCAGAUAAUACUGGUUGACUCGAGUAUAGGAGAGGGUAGUGGAAUUUCCGGUGUAGCGGUGAAAUGCGUAGAGAUCGGAAGGAACACCAGUGGCGAAGGCGGCUACCUGGCCUAAUACUGACACUGAGGCACGAAAGCGUGGGGAGCAAACAGG